UAACAUAAAGGUUUGUGGUCAGUAUAC
rnacentral:sRNA from 1 species